AAUAUGUCUGAGAGGGAAGUGUCAGCAGCGCGGGCAGGAACGGACAUGCCUGCGGCCAAGAAGCAGAAGCUGAGCAGCGAUGAGAACAGCAACCCGGACCUGUCUGGAGACGAGAAUGAUGAUGCUGUGAGUAUAGAAAGUGGAACAAAUUCCGAGCGCCCUGAUACACCUACAAAUACACCGAAUGCACCUGGAAGGAAAAGUUGGGGAAAGGGAAAAUGGAAAUCAAAGAAGUGCAAAUAUUCUUUAAAAUGUGUCAACAGUCUCAAGGAAGAUCAUAACCAGCCGCUGUUUGGAGUUCAGUUUAACCGGCAUAGUAAAGAAGGCGAUCUGUUAGUAUUUACAACUGUAGGGAGCAACAGAGUUACCUUAUAUGAAUGUCAUUCACAAGGAGAAAUCCAGUUAUUGCAGUCUUACGUGGAUGCUGAUGCUGAUGAAAACUUUUAUACUUGUGCAUGGACCUACGAUAGCAAUACAAGUCAUCCUUUGUUAGCAGUAGCUGGAUCCAGAGUCAUAAUAAGGAUAAUUAAUCCUAUAACAAUACAGUGUAUAAAGCACUACGUUGGCCAUGGAAAUGCUAUCAAUGAGUUGAAAUUCCACCCAAAAGAUUUUAAUCUUCUCCUGUCAGUAAGUAAAGAUCAUGCCUUACAAUUGUGGAAUAUCCAAACGGACACUCUGGUGGCACUAUUUGGAGGUGUAGAAGGGCACAGAGAUGAAGUUCUAAGUGCUGAUUCUGACCUGUUGGGUGAAAAAAUAAUGUCCUAUGGUAUGGAUCACUCUCUUAAACUUUGGAGGAUCAAUUCAAAGAGAAUAAUGAAUGCAAUUAAAGAAUCUUACGACUAUAACCCAAAUAAAACUAAUAGGCCAUUUAUUUCCCAGAAAAUUCAUUUUCCUGACUUUUCUACCAGAGACAUACAUAGGAAUUAUGUUGAUUGUGUAUGAUGGUUAGGUGAUUUGAUACUUUCAAAGUCUUGUGAAAAUGCCAUUGUGUGCUGGAAACCUGGCAAAAUGGAAGAUGAUAUAGAUAAAAUUAAACCAUGUACCAAUGUGACUAUUCUCUGGCGAUUUGAUUACAGCCAGUGUGACAUUUGGUACAUGAGGUUUUCUAUGGAUUUCUGGCAGAAGAUGCUUGCAUUGGGCAAUCAGGUUGGCAAACUUUAUGUUUAGGAUUUAGAAGUAGAAGAUCCUCAUAAAGCUAAAUGUACAACGCUGACUCAUCACAAAUGCGGCGCUGCUAUUCGGCAAACCAGUUUUAGCAGGGAUAGCAGCAUUCUUAUAGCUGUUUGUGAUGAUGCCAGUUUUUGGUGUUGGGAUCGACUUCAAUAAAAUAUGUUUUUCCUAACCAAAAUUAGAGUGUGUUGUUUGUGUAAAAUAGAAUUAAUGUAUCUUGCUAGUAAGGGCACAUAGAGCAUUUAAACUUGUUUUUCAGCCUUCAAUCAGGCUGAACUGAAUGUAGUGAUGUUUACAUUGUUUACAUUCUUUGUAUUGUCUUCCUGCUCAGACCCUACUGCUUUCAAUAAAAAUUUAUUUUU